AGGAGUGUAUUUAAAUAUAAUAAUUAGUUUGCAUCUAAUAGGUGUCUGCAAUGACCAUUCUUG
rnacentral:tRNA from 1 species